rnacentral:rRNA from 1 species
UAAGGAAUCUUCCACAAUGGCGAAAGUCUGAUGGAGCAACGCCGCGUGAGUGAAGAAGGGUUUCGGCUCGUAAAACUCUGUUGUUAAAGAAGAACAUAUCUGAGAGUAACUGUUCAGGUAUUGACGGUAUUUAACCAGAAAGCCACGGCUAACUACGUGCCAG